AUCCCAGAAAUGGAGGAGGAAGACGAAGAAACGGCUGGUUCUCAGCAGAAUGUGUCCCGAUUCAGAGACUGUGUCCCCUUUUUUUUUGUGGAAU
rnacentral:miRNA from 1 species